CUCGGAUCAGGUAGGAAUACCCGCUGAACUUAAGCAUAUCAAUAAGGCGGA
rnacentral:rRNA from 1 species